rnacentral:rRNA from 1 species
ACACGACCGUACCUCAAACCGACACUGGUGCGCGAGAUGAGUAUUCUAAGGCGCUUGAGAGAACUCAGGAGAAGGAACUCGGCAAAUUGACACCGUAACCUCGGAAGAAGGUGUGCCUUUAGUAGGUGAACCAUUUACUUGGGGAGCCCAAUGAGGCUGCAAAAAAUCGGUGGCUGCAACUGUUUAUUAAAAACACAGCACUCUGCUAAGACGAAAGUCGACGUAUAGGGUGUGACGCCUGCCCGGUGCUGGAAGAUUAAAUGAUGGGGUGCAAGCUCUUGAUUGAAGUCCCAGUAAACGGCGGCCGUAACAAUAACGGUCCUAAGGUAGCGAAAUUCCUUGUCGGGUAAGUUCCGACCUGCACGAAUGGCGUAAUGAUGGCCACACUGUCUCCUCCUGAGACUCAGCGAAGUUGAAAUGUUUGUGAUGAUGCAAUCUCCCCGCGGAAAGACGGAAAGACCCCAUGAACCUUUACUGUAGCUUUGUAUUGGACUUUGAACAGAUCUGUGUAGGAUAGGUGGGAGGCUUUGAAGUGUGGUCGCUAGAUCGCAUGGAGCCAACGUUGAAAUACCACCCUGGUGUGUUUGAGGUUCUAACCUAGGUCCAUUAUCUGGAUCGGGGACAGUGCAUGGUAGGCAGUUUGACUGGGGCGGUCUCCUCCCAAAGUGUAACGGAGGAGUUCGAAGGUACGCUAGGUACGGUCGGACAUCGUGCUAAUAGUGCAAUGGCAUAAGCGUGCUUAACUGCGAGACUGACAAGUCGAGCAGAUGCGAAAGCAGGACAUAGUGAUCCGGUGGUUCUGUAUGGAAGGGCCAUCGCUCAACGGAUAAAAGGUACUAUGGGGAUAACAGGCUGAUACCGCCCAAGAGUUCAUAUCGACGGCGGUGUUUGGCACCUCGAUGUCGGCUCAUCUCAUCCUGGGGCUGUAGCCGGUCCCAAGGGUAUGGCUGUUCGCCAUUUAAAGAGGUACGUGAGCUGGGUUUAAAACGUCGUGAGACAGUUUGGUCCCUAUCUUCCGUGGGCGCUGCAGAUUUGAGGAAGCCUGCUCCUAGUACGAGAGGACCGGAGUGGACGAACCUCUGGUGUAUCGGUUGUCACGCCAGUGGCAUUGCCGAGUAGCUAAGUUCGGAAGAGAUAACCGCUGAAAGCAUCUAAGCGAAAACUCGUUUCAAGAUUAGAUCUGCCGGGGCCUUGAGCCCCCUAAAGAGUCGUUCAAGACCAGGACGUUGAUAGGUCAGGUGUGGGAGCG